rnacentral:lncRNA from 1 species
UUCCCCAAACGGAAGAUUAUGAAAACCACAACCUUUUUGGGUUUUUUUUUUUUCCAAUUCAAAAGUUCAUUUCUCUUAAAUAGAACUUUGUGGAAUCUCAAGUCAGAAAACUGGGUGUAUAAUCUUGAGCUUCUAAGUUCUGACGCAGCCUGGAAAUGCUCACCAAAAGCCUUUGUUUUGUGAUGGACUACCUUGUACACUUCUGAGAGGAACAGAGGUGACGUUCCUCUAACUAGAAGCCUGGAGACUAGAACCCCCACAAUCCCGGAACACACACGUCAUGCUUACACACACACACAUGCUAGGUCAAGUUCUUGCUUGGUAAAUUACCUCCUGACAGAGGAACCUUCCUGGGUCAUGAAGAGAGCACACCAUCCACUGUGGUGCCCACGGUGGACAUGUUGCUGUCUUGUAGGUAACUUAGGAUGUAGACUGAAUAAAGCCUUUUGUCAAUUCGUAUAUGGAGGCAACAGUCUGAAGUCCCCUGGCCAGCUCACAAAAGUUAAUUCUUCAUUAGUCUAUAAAUGCAUUCUGUUAAGUAAUAAAUAUUUUAGUUGGUUUUUCAUUAACACUGUUUUAGCUUUUACUUUGUGGAUAGUUACUGGUCAAGAUGUAUUUUAGUGACAUUUGGGGCUAAUCUUGGCAUUAUCUACAUUGAAGCCACGAAUGUAAUUAAUGGUGUGCAGUUAUUUUAAAACUUUUACAGAUCAUUUCAUUAUUUUGGUAAUUAUGAAAAUAUAUCCUGAAGUGGGGUAGUUAUACUGGUAGAAGAUUAAUGAAUGAGAUGUACGUAGACAAUCUUCCUGUUGUAUUUUUUCCUUUGCUUUGAGGUUUAGAACAGGUUUUUUGAAUAUAUGCAUGCUAUCAGUUUGAAUAGUUCUUACUGCAAAGAUCCACUGUUAGCUGACGUAUGAGCUAAGGAGAGAAUUUAGAAAAUCUGUUCAUUAAGAUUCUGUUUACACUUGCCAGAAAUGCGUAUUUUAGUUUAAUUAAAUAUUACCAGCUUUUAGUUAUGUCAGUACCUAUCAGAAAAUGAGUCUGUUUUGAUUUCACACAUCUCAACAGUUAAUUCGUUGCAGGGACUCAGGCUCUGAUGACCUCUCCUGUGUCUGGAUUUAUAAUCAGGCAGCAGGGAGCCUUUUUAAGCUAAAGAGUGAUUAUCUUUCGUAGAAGGAGAAGCAAAACCUUGACUUUUGAACUUGCUAUUUAUUCUCCCCAUAUGUGGUCUUUGGUCUUUAACAAUUCUAAUGAGGUCUGAGUUUGUUCCCCAUAAAUCCCAGCACCACUGAAGAGAUGCUAGGUGUAAGACACAGAGGCAGCCUUGCAUUCUAAUGGCACUCACGUGUGUAUAAAACUCCUUCUCUGUAGAAAAUGUUUGUUUCCCUCCAGUGUGUCAACUUGCUUCUGAUGUGGCAUUUUUUUUGUUUUAAUCCCAAUCAGUUAAAAACAGAUCUACUGCGCAAGUUCUAGGAAUACCUUUUUCAUAACCAAACGGGUUGCUAGUUUAAUUUGAUGGAAAUGAAAUUUAAGAAAAAGCUGUUUACCAUUAGAAAACCACAUUUCUUCUUAUAUAUUGAACUGUAUCAUUUUAUAUCCAUUUCUCCACUACUAAAAAAUGUUAUUUCAUAAUAUUUUAACUGGUUUUUAACCCAAAACUAAUUUAUAAGACAGUAUGUAUAGUAAUAGUUGCUUAAGCGAAUAAACAAAAGUUUAAUUUUUAUAUACGUCACACUAUAUUUUAAAUAGUUACAAAAAAAGACAAAAGAAGGGAACUCCAUCCUUGAUAGAGACGGUACAAUUUCAGUUCAAAGUUGUAGUAAUCUUGGAGUGUUGCCGUCUAGUUGUCAACGGUUUCAGAGUGUACAAUUGAUUUUUUUUAAACGUUGCAUUCUUUGAACCUAAAGUCCAGCACUAUAAAAAUGCUUUAGCUUGGGGUGGGGGGGUGCACUUAUUCUCCAAGACGCUGACUAAUACAGAAACCCUGACGCAACAGAACCCGGAAAACUGCCUUGGUUCAUUUGUAGAAAUCUGUAGAAAUAUCAUAUCCAGCCUCAAAGCAUUAAUCUUUUAAAAGAAGCAGCCAGGAAAAGCAUCACCUCAAGUGAUCCUGGGGAGGUUGUGGGAUGUGCUCUCAUUAGAUGCUUUGAAAUGAGGCUUAAAAUACUUUUUUCUGGGCAAUAUAGUCCCUUUUUUUCUUAGACUGUCAUAAAUACAUGUGAACACAUUUAAUGCAGGGCUUUUUAGCCUCUCCAAAUGUCAACAGUAUUUUCAGAAAAAAGCCUAUGAAAUAUAUUGCUGUAGUGGAAAAUUCCGGCCCUUUGUCUUUAAUGCCCUUUUGAAUGAAUAAAGAAAAUCUACCCAGUUUGUAGUUUCUAUAUUUCUGUGAAUCUUUUGACCUUGCAAUGGGUUGCAAUAAAAGAGAAACAAAACGUCC